rnacentral:rRNA from 1 species
GACGAACGCUGGCGGCGUGCUUAACACAUGCAAGUCGAGCGGCGCGGCGAACGGGUGAGUAACGCGGGAGUAACUGCCCCCCUCUCUGGGAUGACAGUUGGAAACGGCUGCUAAUACAGGCUAGUGGGGGAUGACUCGCGUCCUAUCAGCUUGUUGGGGGGGUAGUGGCCUACCUAGGCGACGACGGGUAGCCGGCCUGGGAGGGCGGACGGCCACCGUGGGCUGCGGUACGGCCCAAACUCCUACGGGAGGCAGCAGUGGGGAAUAUUGCCCAAUUGGGGAAACCCUGAUGCAGCAACGCCGCGUGCGGGAUGACUGCCUUCGGGUUGUAAACCGCUUUCAGCCAUGACGCGGUAGUGGCAGAAGAAGCACCGGCUAACUACGUGCCAGCCGCCGCGGUAAUAC